UGUGUAGACGGUUUAUCAAGUUAAAGGUUAAAUAUCAAAGCUUAACUUUGAAAAAGCUUUUAAGACUGAUAUAACUAGAGUAUGAUAAAGGAUAGUAGAAUUUUUAAAGUAGCAGUGAAAUGCUUAAAGAUUAAAAGGAAUACCACUAGGCGAAGGCAACUAUCUAGAUCAUUACUGACGUUGAGGCACGAAAGUAUGGGGAGCAAACAGGAUUAGAGACCCUGGUAGUCCAUAGCUGUCAACUAUGAGUAUAUGAUGUUAGAAAAAAAAAUAUUAUAAUUAUUUUUUUGCAGUAUCAAAGCUAACGCGUUAAAUACUCCGCCUGGGGAGUACGGCCGCAAGGUUGAA
rnacentral:rRNA from 1 species